UAUGGAUAUUAUGUCUCAUACAAGAAGACAUAAAAAGUGAAGCAAAAGGCAAUUGCACAAUGAUUAGGAUAAAUCAUACAACAAUACAUGUUGGUGAUUGGUUGGAAUCCAAGAAUUUGUCCUUGUACCUUUGUUGAAGUAGAAAUGUUUCUCGCACAUUACAGGAAUCAUUUGGUUAAGUGGAAGUUGAUAUUCCCUCAAAAAUCAUGUAUUGAAGAGGUUUUCCUUUUUUUUUCUUUUUUUUGUACUUUAAACCUACCAUCUAGAUAAACUACACUUUCUUGUACAAAAAAUACUGAGUAAAAUUAUUGUCAGUUAUUGCACAACACAUAUUGACAAUAUCAUUCAUCAUUGCUGCAGGUGAGACGAGGUAAGCUUGUUUUUCUUCCUCAAAAAUUUGCAGCGACAUGUUAGAUGAUCAGAGGUACAUCAACAUGAGGUUAUCAAAGCAGCGGUGAGGAAUUGAGGAAGCUAAUGAACCCCACUACAUGCAUAUCUGGUCUACUGUAUUAAAAACAUUGAAUAUGAGCUUAAAACACAAAUUCCAUGAGAGGCUGGAGAUCAUACAUGCAAAAACAAAGCAGCCGGUAGAUAGCUUGACAACAGCCCUAAGGAGGGCUUAGCCAUAUGAUGAAGGUCGAUGCUAUGGUCAUAUAACAACAAACCUUGCUAAAUCAGUCAACUUAGUGUUGGAAGUCCACGCAUUAUCUUCGAGUUACCAUGUUAGUUCAAGCGCCUUACUAAAGUUGGUCAAGUUAGAAUAAUAAUCCAAUGUAUCAGAUAAUAAUCCAAAAGUUACCAUGUUAGUUCAACGACUUA